AGUGAACGCUGGCGGUAGGCCUAACACAUGCAAGUCGAACGGCAGCACAGUAAGAGCUUGCUCUUACGGGUGGCGAGUGGCGGACGGGUGAGGAAUACAUCGGAAUCUACUUUUUCGUGGGGGAUAACGUAGGGAAACUUACGCUAAUACCGCAUACGACCUACGGGUGAAAGCAGGGGAUCUUCGGACCUUACGCGAUUGAAUGAGCCGAUGUCGGAUUAGCUAGUUGGCGGGGUAAAGGCCCACCAAGGCGACGAUCCGUAGCUGGUCUGAGAGGAUGGUCAGCCACACUGGAACUGAGACACGGUCCAGACUCCUACGGGAGGCAGCAGUGGGGAAUAUUGGACAAUGGGCGCAAGCCUGAUCCAGCCAUACCGCGUGGGUGAAGAAGGCCUUCGGGUUGUAAAGCCCUUUUGUUGGGAAAGAAAAGCAGCAGGUUAAUACCCCGCUGUUCUGACGGUACCCAAAGAAUAAGCACCGGCUAACUUCGUG
rnacentral:rRNA from 1 species